GAAAUGCGAUAAGUAAUGUGAAUUGCAGAAUUCCGUGAAUCAUCGAAUCUUUGAACGCACAUUGCGCCCCCUGGCAUUCCGGGGGGCAUGCCUGUCCGAGCGUCAUUUCUGCCCUCAAGCACGGCUUGUGUGUUGGGUGUGGUCCCCCCGGGGACCUGCCCGAAAGGCAGCGGCGACGUCCGUCUGGUCCUCGAGCGUAUGGGGCUCUGUCACUCGCUCGGGAAGGACCUGCGGGGGUUGGUCACCACCAUAUUCCACCACGGUUGACCUCGGAUCAGGUAGGAGUUACCCGCUGAACUUAAGC
rnacentral:misc_RNA from 1 species